rnacentral:ncRNA from 1 species
AAAACGGCCCUUUUCAGGGCCACCAAAUUUCAUGAUAUUUUAGAG